rnacentral:misc_RNA from 1 species
AACCUUAUGGACCUGCGGGCGUAUACCUGCGGAGGGAUCAUUACCUAGAGUUGUAGGCUUUGCCUGCUAUCUCUUACCCAUGUCUUUUGAGUACCUUACGUUUCCUCGGUGGGUUCGCCCGCCGGUUGGACAAAACUUAAACCCUUUGUAGUUGCAAUCAGCGUCUGAAAAAACUUAAUAGUUACAACUUUUAACAACGGAUCU